UGGGGAAUUUUGGACAAUGGGCGAAAGCCUGAUCCAGCAAUGCCGCGUGUGUGAAGAAGGCCUUCGGGUUGUAAAGCACUUUUGUCCGGAAAGAAAUGGCUCUGGUUAAUACCUGGGGUCGAUGACGGUACCGGAAGAAUAAGGACCGGCUAACUACGUGCCAGCAGCCGCGGUAAUACGUAGGGUCCAAGCGUUAAUCGGAAUUACUGGGCGUAAAGCGUGCGCAGGCGGUUGUGCAAGACCGAUGUGAAAUCCCCGAGCUUAACUUGGGAAUUGCAUUGGUGACUGCACGGCUAGAGUGUGUCAGAGGGGGGUAGAAUUCCACGUGUAGCAGUGAAAUGCGUAGAGAUGUGGAGGAAUACCGAUGGCGAAGGCAGCCCCCUGGGAUAACACUGACGCUCAUGCACGAAAGCGUGGGGAGCAAACAGGAUUAGAUACCCUGGUAGUCCACGCCCUAAAACGAUGUCAACUAGUUGUUGGGGAUUCAUUUCCUUAGUAACGUAGCUAACGCGUGAAGUUGACCGCCUGGGGAGUACGGUCGCAAGAUUAAAAGCUCAAAAUGAAUUGAC
rnacentral:rRNA from 1 species